rnacentral:rRNA from 1 species
UGGGGAAUUGUUCGCAAUGGACGAAAGUCUGACGACGCAACGCCGCGUGAAGGAUGAAGGUCUUCGGAUUGUAAACUUCUGUUGGGUGGGAAGAACUGUUUCCGGAUCAAUACCCCGGAGAUCUGACGGUACCACCUGAGGAAGCCCCGGCUAACUAUGUGCCAGCAGCCGCGGUAAUACAGAGGGGGCAAGCGUUGUUCGGAAUUACUGGGCGUAAAGGGCGCGUAGGUGGCCAACUAAGUCAGACGUGAAAUCCCCAGGCUCAACUUGGGAACUGCGUCUGAUACUGGCUGGCUUGAAUUCGGGAGAGGGAUGCAGAAUUCCAGGUGUAGCGGUGAAAUGCGUAGAUAUCUGGAGGAAUACCGGUGGCGAAGGCGGCAUCCUGGACCGACAUUGACGCUGAGGAGCGAAAGCUAGGGGAGCAAA